CAGGUGUUGCAUGGCUGUCGUCAGCUCGUGUCGUGAGAUGUUCGGUUAAGUCCGCUAACGAGCGCAACCCUCGCUGUGUGUUAUAUGUGUCACACAGGACUGCUGGUAUUAAGCCGGAGGAGGGUGGGGACGACGUCAAGUCAGCAUGACCUUUAUAUCCAGGGCUACACACACGCUACAAUGGUCAGUACAAUGGGUUGCCAAGCCGCGAGGCGGAGCCAAUCCUAAAAAGCUGGCCUCAGUUCAGAUUGCAGUCUGAAACUCGACUGCAUGAAGUCGGAGUUGCUAGUAAACGCAGGUCAGCUAUACUGCGUUGAAUACGUUCCCGGGGCUU
rnacentral:rRNA from 1 species